UUUGACCUGGCUCAGAGCGAACGCUGGCGGCAGGCCUAACACAUGCAAGUCGAACGAACUCUUCGGAGUUAGUGGCGGACGGGUGAGUAACACGUGGGAACGUGCCUUUAGGUUCGGAAUAACUCAGGGAAACUUGUGCUAAUACCGAAUGUGCCCUUCGGGGGAAAGAUUUAUCGCCUUUAGAGCGGCCCGCGUCUGAUUAGCUAGUUGGUGAGGUAAAGGCUCACCAAGGCGACGAUCAGUAGCUGGUCUGAGAGGAUGAUCAGCCACAUUGGGACUGAGACACGGCCCAAACUCCUACGGGAGGCAGCAGUGGGGAAUCUUGCGCAAUGGGCGAAAGCCUGACGCAGCCAUGCCGCGUGAAUGAUGAAGGUCUUAGGAUUGUAAAAUUCUUCACCGGGGACGAUAA
rnacentral:rRNA from 1 species